rnacentral:rRNA from 1 species
UGAGAGUUUGAUCCUGGCUCAGGACGAACGCUGGCGGCGUGCCUAAUACAUGCAAGUCGAACGAACUCUGGUAUUGAUUGGUGCUUGCAUCAUGAUUUACAUUUGAGUGAGUGGCGAACUGGUGAGUAACACGUGGGAAACCUGCCCAGAAGCGGGGGAUAACACCUGGAAACAGAUGCUAAUACCGCAUAACAACUUGGACCGCAUGGUCCGAGUUUGAAAGAUGGCUUCGGCUAUCACUUUUGGAUGGUCCCGCGGCGUAUUAGCUAGAUGGUGGGGUAACGGCUCACCAUGGCAAUGAUACGUAGCCGACCUGAGAGGGUAAUCGGCCACAUUGGGACUGAGACACGGCCCAAACUCCUACGGGAGGCAGCAGUAGGGAAUCUUCCACAAUGGACGAAAGUCUGAUGGAGCAACGCCGCGUGAGUGAAGAAGGGUUUCGGCUCGUAAAACUCUGUUGUUAAAGAAGAACAUAUCUGAGAGUAACUGUUCAGGUAUUGACGGUAUUUAACCAGAAAGCCACGGCUAACUACGUGCCAGCAGCCGCGGUAAUACGUAGGUGGCAAGCGUUGUCCGGAUUUAUUGGGCGUAAAGCGAGCGCAGGCGGUUUUUUAAGUCUGAUGUGAAAGCCUUCGGCUCAACCGAAGAAGUGCAUCGGAAACUGGGAAACUUGAGUGCAGAAGAGGACAGUGGAACUCCAUGUGUAGCGGUGAAAUGCGUAGAUAUAUGGAAGAACACCAGUGGCGAAGGCGGCUGUCUGGUCUGUAACUGACGCUGAGGCUCGAAAGUAUGGGUAGCAAACAGGAUUAGAUACCCUGGUAGUCCAUACCGUAAACGAUGAAUGCUAAGUGUUGGAGGGUUUCCGCCCUUCAGUGCUGCAGCUAACGCAUUAAGCAUUCCGCCUGGGGAGUACGGCCGCAAGGCUGAAACUCAAAGGAAUUGACGGGGGCCCGCACAAGCGGUGGAGCAUGUGGUUUAAUUCGAAGCUACGCGAAGAACCUUACCAGGUCUUGACAUACUAUGCAAAUCUAAGAGAUUAGACGUUCCCUUCGGGGACAUGGAUACAGGUGGUGCAUGGUUGUCGUCAGCUCGUGUCGUGAGAUGUUGGGUUAAGUCCCGCAACGAGCGCAACCCUUAUUAUCAGUUGCCAGCAUUAAGUUGGGCACUCUGGUGAGACUGCCGGUGACAAACCGGAGGAAGGUGGGGAUGACGUCAAAUCAUCAUGCCCCUUAUGACCUGGGCUACACACGUGCUACAAUGGAUGGUACAACGAGUUGCGAACUCGCGAGAGUAAGCUAAUCUCUUAAAGCCAUUCUCAGUUCGGAUUGUAGGCUGCAACUCGCCUACAUGAAGUCGGAAUCGCUAGUAAUCGCGGAUCAGCAUGCCGCGGUGAAUACGUUCCCGGGCCUUGUACACACCGCCCGUCACACCAUGAGAGUUUGUAACACCCAAAGUCGGUGGGGUAACCUUUUAGGAACCAGCCGCCUAAGGUGGGACAGAUGAUUAGGGUGAAGUCGUAACAAGGUAGCCGUAGGAGAACCUGCGGCUGGAUCACCUCCUUUCU